CAAAGGGAAAGCGAGACUGUGAAGAGGAGCAAACCCCAAAAAGGAACGUCUCAGUUCGGAUUGUAGUCUGCAACUCGACUACAUGAAGCUGGAAUCGCUAGUAAUCGCGAAUCAGAAUGUCGCGGUGAAUACGUUCCCGGGUCUUGUACACACCGCCCGUCACACCAUGGGAGUCGGAAAUGCCCGAAGUCUGUGACCUAACCGUAAGGAAGGAGCAGCCGAAGGCAGGUCGGAUGACUGGGGUGAAGUCGUAACAAGGUAAC
rnacentral:rRNA from 1 species